GACGAACGCUGGCGGCGUGCUUAACACAUGCAAGUCGAACGGAAAGGCCCUGCUUUUGUGGGGUGCUCGAGUGGCGAACGGGUGAGUAACACGUGAGUUACCUGCCCUUGACUUUGAGAUAACUUCAGGAAACUGGAGCUAAUACCGGAUAGGAGCUCCUGCUGCAUGGUGGGGGUUCGUAAGUUUCGGCGGUUGGGGAUGGACUCGCGGCUGAUAAGCUUGUUGGUGGGGUAGUGGCUUACCAAGGCUUUGACGGGUAGGCGGCCUGAGAGGGUGACCGGCCACAUUGGGACUGAGAUACGGCCCAGACUCCAACGGGAGGCAGAAGUGGGGAAUGUUGCAUAGUGGGCGGAAGCCUAGAGCAACAACGCCGCGUGCGGGAUGACGGCCUUCGGUUUGUAAACCGAUUUCGAUCGUGACGAAGCGUGAGUGACGGUAAUGGGUAAAGAAGCACCGGCUAACUACGUG
rnacentral:rRNA from 1 species